GAUGCUACGACCUUUGUUUCACAUACAUUACUUAGAGGUCGAAAGAAUCUUUGGCAACUUACAACAAGUCGUGCAGCUGUCUUGCUUUCUUCACCGGCUAUUCAUUCAGCUAGCAUCCAUCAAUUCUUAACAACUUAUGAAGAUUUAAACAUUUUUGUGCUGGCUGGGGAAGCUUUUUGUGGAAGUGAAGCAGUUGAGUUCAGGCAGAAAGUGAAAUCUGUUUGUGAAAGUUAUUUAGCUGCUUUCCAUCGGCAAAAUAUAUAUGCUCUCAAGAUGGUGCUGGAAAGGGAGCAUUGGCUGAUAUUGCCGCCAGAGACGAUCGAAGUAGUAAGCUUCGCUGGGCUUGUCGGUGAUGGAGCAGCUUUGAUAGUUUCAUCUGAGACCUCUCCGAAUACUCGACUGCUGCAAGAACGCAAGCCUGUACAUCCUAUCCAAACUAAAUCCUCUAAGAGAAAUGGAUUUUCAAGUUGGCUUAAGGGUGGAAAUCCAUUUCUGCCAAAACUAAAUGGUAGUUCCAG
rnacentral:misc_RNA from 1 species